GAUGAACGCUGGCGGCGUGCCUAAUACAUGCAAGUCGAACGAUGAACCCGGAGCUUGCUCCGGUGGAUUAGUGGCGAACGGGUGAGUAACACGUGAGUAACCUGCCCUUGACUCUGGGAUAACUGCGGGAAACUGUAGCUAAUACCGGAUACGACCCUCGGCGGCAUCGCCAGGGGGUGGAAAGAACUUCGGCCAAGGAUGGACUGGCGGCCUAUGAGCUAGUUGGGGAGGUAACGGCUCACGAAGGCGACGACGGGUAGCCGGCCUGAGAGGGUAACCGGCCACACUGGGAUUGAGCCACGGCCCAGAGUCCUACGGGAGGCAGAAGUGAGGAAUAUUGCACAAUGGGCGCAAGCCUGAUGCAGCAACGCCACGUGAGGGAGGACGGCCUUCGGGUUGUAAACCUCUUUUAGUAGGGAAGAAGCGAAAGUGACGGUACCCACAGAAGAAGCCCCGGCUAACUUCGUGCCAGCCGCCGCAGUAA
rnacentral:rRNA from 1 species